GGGUAUUCUUAGCGCUUUGAGAGUUCUAAUGGCGUCCCAUACUCCUCCUCUUGACGCCUUGGUUGUUCCUUCUGAGGACUAUCACCAGAGUGAAUAUGUAUCUGCGAGAGAUAAACGACGUGAAUUUGUGUCAGGUUUCACCGGAAGUGCUGGUCUGGCCCUUGUAACUCAGAGAGAAGCAUUACUGUGGACCGAUGGGCGGUAUUUCCUGCAGGCAAUUCAACAGCUUAGUGAUCAGUGG
rnacentral:misc_RNA from 1 species